GAAAAAAAAAAAAACUAAGCGAAGGGAAAAGAGUACAACUUAAUUGAGGCAUUAGAACAACGUUGAAUGCGCUCAUGUUGCCUCAUUAAAAUAUUUAUAGGAAAAAUCCAGUGGGAAAAAUUAUAGUCGAAGGAAAAAUAGUACAACGCGAAUAUGUCAUGUGUUAGAGGACUCUUGAAUGCUCCCCCUAAUGAAUAUCUCCCCCUGAUUUUGCAUGCUUCAAUUCGGUUGCUUAUAGAGUUGACGUAAUCCGAUACCAUGCCCUAGCUUUUGGAAUGUACAUUUUGGCAAAGAUUU
rnacentral:lncRNA from 1 species